UUAAUUCUUCAGACGACUGAGCAGAGAUCAUGGAUUCUUCAGCUUCUGGGAAGAAGUACGAAAUCAAAGGAGAAGACCCAUCUCCAGAUCGAAAGGGGAGAACAAAGAGACUGGAGUUGAUGCAUCUGUACGUCUUUGAUUAUGGUUUUCUCUCUUUAGACAAGAACAAUCUGAGUGUGGCGAGCCCUCUUAAACAAAGAUGUUGAGAUACUGUUGAUCAAAAAUUGUAUUAGCAAGAUGUAGCCAUCUCAACUACGAUCAUAUGCUAAGUUCUUGAAUGACAAAUAGUUCUUGAAUUACGCUAUAUAAAGAUUUUUGGCUAAAUCCUGGUCAAGGUGAAGGUGUCAAAGAUCUCAAAGAGAACUAGCUUUACUUUGGGUGAAUGUGCUGGUGUGUCCUUCCACAGUCUUGACUGGUGUUACUGACAUACCCACAUCCAAGCAGUCAGACAAGGAUGAUGAAUGGAGAGCAACCAAACUUUGGUUUCCAGUGUAA